GUGGCUCAGAGAGGAGGGACUCAGUGUUCACAGAUCUGACAUGAUCUAAUGUGUUUGACAGAGACUUUGGUAGAAACUAUUCAGUCUGACUCUUCUCAGAGUGAACACUUCUACAAUGGAUCUUUGUUCAGUUUUUCUGUUCUGUGCAUCAGCAGGUAUUUAUUUGGUUAAUUAUAAUAGUUUGACAGAGACUUUGGUAGAAACUAUUCAGUCUGACUCUUCUCAGAGUGAACACUUCUACAAUGGAUCUUUGUUCAGUUUUUCUGUUCUGUGCAUCAGCAGCUGCUGUCUUUGGAAAUAUCAUCAAAGCAAACAAAACUGAUGUUGUUUAUGAAGAGGGUUCAAAUAUUACAUUGUCCUGUAGUCAGUCACCUGUAGCUUCAGAUAAUAUCUACUGGUACCGUCAGUAUGAAAGAUCAAAACCUGAAUUUCUUGUACUCGCCUACGGUAAUGCAAAAGAAGCUGCAGUGUCUGAUGUAGAUCCAAGAUUCUCUGCUAAAGUUGAAAAAAGGGAAAAAAUCCAUGUGGAUCUGAAGAUCUCCUCUGCUGCUGUAUCAGACUCUGCUCUGUACUACUGUGCUCUGAGGCCCACAGUGACAGGAAACACAUCAGCUCUCUACAAAAACCUGCUACAAUGAGAGACAAGAGAGAAACAAAUACAAAAGACAAAGAGGAAGAAGUAACUGCCAAUUAAAAAAUAAUAAUAAUAACAAGAACAGUGAAUAAAUCACAGGCAGUUACCUAAAUCAAAAGGUAGACAACUCAUUUAAUAAGUGUUUUGGUAAAACAUUCAUAAACAUUUUAAAGUAAGUGAAUAUUUGGCAAAAUAAAGAUGACAUAUAUUAAAUCCCU
rnacentral:lncRNA from 1 species